rnacentral:misc_RNA from 1 species
AAGGAUCAUUACAAAUCCAACGUCUCCUCUUUGAGACACCGUUGAAACAGUGAGGAGGUGACUGGUGGCUGGGUGGCUUGCUGUCUCACGACGACUUGCCCCCAUCUCACCGGUCACCACCUUUACACAUCCCAGAAAUCGUUGAUCAUUUGUAUGCUUCUUAACAAAGAAACAACUUAUACCAAUGGAUCUCUAGGCUCUU